UACGUAGGGGGCAAGCGUUGUCCGGAAUCAUUGGGCGUAAAGCGCGUGUAGGCGGCCCGAUAAGUCCGCUGUGAAAGUCCAGGGCUCAACCCUGGAAUGCCGGUGGAUACUGUCGGGCUCGAGUCCGGAAGAGGCGAGUGGAAUUCCUGGUGUAGCGGUGAAAUGCGCAGAUAUCAGGAGGAACACCCGUGGCGAAAGCGGCUCUCUGGGACGGUACUGACGCUGAGGAGCGAAAGCGUGGGGAGCGAACAGG
rnacentral:rRNA from 1 species